GACACCACCUCCCAAGAUCUUUCCAGUACCACGCGAUGCAGCAGGAAGAAAGAAGAAACAAAACAAAAGGAAAAACAAUCAAAAUACGUAGAUCAGCCACAAAAGGACUCGUCUCCACGGGGCAUGCAAACUUCACUAUGAAAAAGAAAUUUUACAAGAGGAGACCUCACCCUCAACCCUUGUACACCCAAUUUUCUCUCACAUGAAGUUCCCCUCACAAAAGCUCUCUCUCUCUUGGAGACCCCCU
rnacentral:lncRNA from 1 species